CACCUGGCCCCUCCCAAGAGGGGAGGCUCCUCUCUCAGAACUCAGAAUCUUCCUUUCAUCUCCUUCUUCCCAAAGAGAGACCAUCCCCACAUCCUUCCAGGCAGGCUAGGGGUCUCCAUAGCGCAGGAUUGGACCAUCUGCUUGGCGUGCAGGUCUUCCGUCGUGGGCUGCAUCUCCGGGGGGGGGGGCUGACAAUGUGUCCCCCCCCCGUCCGAACCCCUGGAGAACUGCUGCCGGUCAGUGAAGGCGAUGCUGAAGUCAGUGGCUGACAGGACUGACUGUCCAUGGCAGCUUCCUAGGAAUAUUCCUCUGAAGUUCUUUAGCUGAAGAGGAGCAGGCUAACUUCUGCACCGGAUCAACCAUCAAUUCCUUUCGUUAAGAGACAAUCUGGGAAAGUCCCUGUUUAAUAUACAACAAUGCCAGUGCAAAAGUUCUGAAUGUGAGAGGAAGCAGAAUUCUUCCCUCUGCAAGAAAGCCAUAGGCCAAGGGGAUCCCCCCCCCAGUGGACUAGAUGACUCCCAGGGUCCCUUCCAGAUCUUCCAUUCUAGGGGGUCAACUGCAGUAGACCCUUCAGAUUUCCAAGCAGUCCUCCAGUUACGAAAUUUUCGGGAUAUGGCCGGGCCCCCGGAACGGAUCCUGUUCAUCAUCGGAGGUACCACUGUACAGAAGUCCAUAUAAACCACGUGUCUGAAAUAGUACAGGAGAGCAAUCCUGAAGCCAUUCUGAUUCUCCCAAUGACCUCAAAUAUUCCUCUGCAGGAAGGGAGGCAAAACGUGUCCCAUUUUAGAUUGUUGUCAAAUUCUUUUCUGUUAUUUUUGUAACUGCUUUUUUUUAUGUUGUGCACAUUUGUUUUAUUUAUAUUUGUUAAUUUUACAUACCUCCCUUCAUUUGAAUAUCACAAGGCGGUUUGCAAUAUAAAAACACAAAAAUGCAAAAAUAUAUGACAUUGCCUUGGUGCCAGGGCCAGCACAUCCAUGAGCCAAGGUGAGGUGACUGCCUCAGGCGGCAGAAUCCACAAGGGCAGAAAAUCCCAAAGUCGAUCUUUUUCCCCGCCCUGUUCCUCCUCAACCACCCCUUCUUCCCUGACUGGGGGGCAUUUUGUGGUUCACCUCAGGUACCAAAAUGUGUUGGGCCAGCCCUGCUUGGGACACAGGUAGAAGGCAAUUCAUACAUUAUUGUUAUAGAAUUGAUCAUAAUGACGUUGAAGACUGCACUUGUAGAAUAAUAAUCUUUCUCUGCGGUUUGAUUUGGGGCUUGGAUGUUUGUCCUGGUAACUAGAAAUGCUCCUUCAACGUGCCCCGUCCAUAGCUGUCAACUGUCUCUUAUUUGGCGGGAAACUCCCUUAUCCCAGCGCCGUGUCCCGCUGCUGUCCCUUAUUGAUGAUGUCCCUUAAAUUUCCCAGGUUUCAUGCUUGCCCGGCUCGGGAGGGUAGCAGAGGCUCGGGGUCCUCCGCUGCGAGAGAGCGCGUGCGCUGGCACUGUCGUCCUGUCGCGAGGAAUUCCAUUGGCCCUUCCCCGCCCGAGAGGGGAUGGGAGGGAGAGAGACUCUCGCCCACGCCGCCCGCGAGCCCGGAGGCGGCAGCGGUGGUGGCAGCUGAGGAGGCGGACUGAGGGAGGAGGAAGAGGAGGGGAUGGGGAGGGACGCAGAAGGGCGGCGCUUUAGUGGCUGUCGUGGCACCGCAACCGCCUCAUGCCGGAUUGUCAAUCCUACCAACGUAUGUAACUCUUUACAAUAGCAAAAUCCCUUAUUUUUGAGGCUGCUGGUCCCUUAUUUUCAAAUCUGUAAGUUGACAGCUAUGGCCCCGUCCUGUGUGCAUGAGCUUUUUACCCUUCACAUGGUUAACUCUCGACAUGGAUGGGCCGUGGGGAGAUUUCACAUCUUGGAAGUUGCAUCAGAACAGGAAGUGACUCUCCAUUAUCCCUGCAGGAGAGUGCAAUCAGAUCCAAGACCCAAGUUUUCCGUGAGGACGACCAAAAAUAACAUCAAUUCACUGGGCUGUAAUAAGCUUCAGAUGCCACUGCAACUGGGUUGUGUUUUUUUAAAAUAUAUUCCAGGCAGAAGUUUAAAAAUUGCAUCCUUAGUCAUUUCUGAGCCAAGCGAAACUCUUGCCAGUCAAAGCAGCAACGAGUCCAGGCAGCUGGCUCGAAUCAUAAAUAGUGAUUUAGAGAGGAGAGUGCGAGUUGGGUUUUUCCUACAAUCCUGUCCUUGAGCUCAAGUUACUGGGAACAGAAUCAGGUUUUGUCAACUGGGAUUCCUGAUUCCGUUAGCUGGAAGGAACUAAUCCAUGCUGUUUCGGGAUGCAAACACAUAGGAAUUGCUUCCCGUUAUAUUUUUCAGUGUACACCGAAGAUGUUUCAAAGCACACUAUAAGUGAGUGUUGAAGGAUACUUGGGGUGACCUUAAGGACUCCAGUGCAGAUGGAGAUUUGCUUCCUUUCAGCCUGGCCCCAUUCAUCUGUUAAUUGGAGAGUAGUUAAGGGUGCUGGAAAUUAUAGCACUGGGGGGAGACAAGGGCAGUUCCCAGGUUUCUCUGCGGGAAGCCAUGUGUUUUAAAUGUAUGGAAUGGGUGUGACCUAGCUUGGUGUAAAGAAAAGCUAAAACAAGGGAGGUAAAAAUAAACCCAACCUAUACAAGUGAGAGGGACGCGGGUGGCGCUGUGGGUUAAACCACAAAGCCUAGGACUUGCCGAUCAGAAGGUUGGCGGUUUGAAUCCCCGCAACGGGGUGAGCUCCCGUUGCUUGGUCCCUGCUCCUGCCAACCUAGCAGUUCAAAACCACAUCAAAGUGCAAGUAGAUAAAUAGGUACCACUCUGGCGGGAAGGUAAACGGCAUUUCCAUGCACUGCUCUGGUUUGCCAGAAGCGGCUUAUUCAUGCUGGCCAC